rnacentral:rRNA from 2 species
UUGGACCUGAUAUCAGACAA